CAAACUAAGAUGGAAGAAAGGAG
rnacentral:piRNA from 1 species